GCAUAUCAAUAAGCGGAGGAAAAGAAACCAACAGGGAUUGCCCUAGUAACGGCGAGUGAAGCGGCAACAGCUCAAAUUUGAAAUCUGGCGUCUUUGGCGUCCGAGUUGUAAUUUGCAGAGGGCGCUUUGGCAUUGGCAGCGGUCCAAGUUCCUUGGAACAGGACGUCACAGAGGGUGAGAAUCCCGUACGUGGUCGCUAGCCUUUACCGUGUAAAGCCCCUUCGACGAGUCGAGUUGUUUGGGAAUGCAGCUCUAAAUGGGAGGUAAAUUUCUUCUAAAGCUAAAUACUGGCCAGAGACCGAUAGCGCACAAGUAGAGUGAUCGAAAGAUGAAAAGCACUUUGGAAAGAGAGUUAAAAAGCACGUGAAAUUGUUGAAAGGGAAGCGCUUGCAGCCAGACUUGCCUGUAGUUGCUCAUCCGGGUUUCUACCCGGUGCACUCUUCUAUAGGCAGGCCAGCAUCAGUUUGGGCGGUUGGAUAAAGGUCUCUGUCAUGUACCUCCUCUCGGGGAGAUCUUAUAGGGGAGACGACAUGCAACCAGCCUGGACUGAGGUCCGCGCAUCUGCUAGGAUGCUGGCGUAAUGGCUGUAAGCGGCCCGUCUUGAAACACGGACCAAGGAGUCUAACAUCUAUGCGAGUGUUUGGGUGUCAAGCCCGAGCGCGUAAUGAAAGUGAACGGAGGUGGGAACCUUUCGGGGUGCACCAUCGACCGAUCCUGAUGUCUUCGGAUGGAUUUGAGUAAGAGCAUAGCUGUUGGGACCCGAAAGAUGGUGAACUAUGCUUGAAUAGGGUGAAGCCAGAGGAAACUCUGGUGGAGGCUCGCAGCGGUUCUGACGUGCAAAUCGAUCGUCAAAUUUGGGCAUAGGGGCGAAAGACUAAUCGAACUAUCUAGUAGCUGGCUUCUGCGGA
rnacentral:rRNA from 1 species